rnacentral:rRNA from 1 species
UACGGGGGAGCAAGCGUUGUUCGGAUUUACUGGGCGUAAAGGGCGCGUAGGCGGCCACCGCAAGUCGACUGUGAAAUCUCCGGGCUUAACCCGGAAAGGUCAGCCGAUACUGCGGGGCUAGAGUGCAGAAGGGGCAACUGGAAUUCUCGGGUGUAGCGGUGAAAUGCGUAGAUAUCGAGAGGAACACCUGCGGCGAAGGCGGGUUGCUGGGCCGACACUGACGCUGAUGCGCGAAAGCCAGGGGAGCGAACGGG